UUCUAAGGGCGUUGAAGCAUGAUCGCAAGGACAUGUGGAGCGCUUAGAAGUGAGAAUGCCGGUGUGAGUAGCGAAAGACGGGUGAGAAUCCCGUCCACCGAUUGACUAAGGUUUCCAGAGGAAGGCUCGUCCGCUCUGGGUUAGUCGGGUCCUAAGCUGAGGCCGACAGGCGUAGGCGAUGGAUAACAGGUUGAUAUUCCUGUACCACCAUUAUUCGUUUUAAGCGAUGGGGGGACGCAGUAGGAUAGGCGAAGCGUGCUGUUGGAGUGCACGUCCAAGCAGUGAGAUUGAGUGUUAGGCAAAUCCGGCACUCUUAAGAUUGAGCUGUGAUGGGGAGAGGAACUUGUUCCUCGAGUCGUUGAUUUCACACUGCCGAGAAAAGCCUCUAGCUAGAAUAACGGUGCCCGUACCGCAAACCGACACAGGUAGUCAAGAUGAGAAUUCUAAGGUGAGCGAGCGAACUCUCGUUAAGGAACUCGGCAAAAU
rnacentral:rRNA from 1 species